UACGGAGGGUGCGAGCGUUAUCCGGAUUCACUGGGUUUAAAGGGUGCGUAGGUGGGAAUGUAAGUCAGUGGUGAAAUCUCUGAGCUUAACUCAGAAACUGCCAUUGAUACUAUGUGUCUUGAAUGUUCUGGAGGUUAGCGGAAUAUGUCAUGUAGCGGUGAAAUGCUUAGAUAUGACAUAGAACACCUAUUGCGAAGGCAGCUAACUACGGAAAUAUUGACGCUGAGGCACGAAAGCGUGGGGAUCAAACAGG
rnacentral:rRNA from 1 species